rnacentral:rRNA from 1 species
GAUGAACGCUGACAGAAUGCUUAACACAUGCAAGUCUACUUGAAUUUGGGUUUUUUAACUUAGAUUUGGGUGGCGGACGGGUGAGUAACGCGUAAAGAACUUGCCUCACAGCUAGGGACAACAUUUGGAAACGAAUGCUAAUACCUGAUAUUAUGAUUAUAAGGCAUCUUAGAAUUAUGAAAGCUAUAUGCGCUGUGAGAGAGCUUUGCGUCCCAUUAGCUAGUUGGAGAGGUAACGGCUCACCAAGGCGAUGAUGGGUAGCCGGCCUGAGAGGGUGAACGGCCACAAGGGGACGGAGACACGGCCCUUACUCCUACGGGAGGCAGCAGUGGGGAAUAUUGGACAAUGGACCAAGAGUCUGAUCCAGCAAUUCUGUGUGCACGAUGACGUUUUUCGGAAUGUAAAGUGCUUUCAGUUGGGAAGAAAAAAAUGACGGCACCAACAGAAGAAGUGACGGCUAAAUACGUG